ACAGCACGUGACCCACUGUAACAGGUCAUUUCUUCCAAGUUUCAAGUGUAACACAGAGAGUAUGGCCUGAAUGGUGACGACGACUCUGAGGAAGGCGAUGGUGCUUUAGGAAGAAUGUUCAGAUGCUGUCUUUGAGUGUUGCAAACAGUGACACAGUCACAGAGAGCAUGGCCUGAAUGGUGACAACGAUUCGGAGGAAGACGAUGGUGCUUUUGGAAACUGAAUGCUCAGUUUGUGAGAAGAGUCCGGAUUCUUUGCAGAAAUGUUGUGAGCAGUUCGAACCGUGUCCGGGUGCAGUAUUAGCAGAAGAUCCGAAUAUGUCCGAAAAAUAUGAAACUUUUCGAAGCUUUGUAAAUAGAUUUGCUGGGACAAUUGCACCCAAAUCUGUUCAAUUAGUUGAAUUUUAACCAGAUGAUAGACAUUAUUAUUUUAUUUUUUUGGGUUGAACAUUUAUUCAUAAUGGCUUUUUUAGCAUAUAUUAAAA